rnacentral:rRNA from 1 species
AACCAGCACCUCAAGUGGUCAGGAUGAUUAUUGGGCCUAAAGCAUCCGUAGCUCGUUUUGUAAGUUUUCGGUUAAAUCCAUGCGCUUAACGUAUGGGCUGCCGGGAAUACUGCAUAACUAGGAAGUGGGAGAGGUAGACGGUACUCGGGGGGAAGGGGUAAAAUCCUUUGAUCUCUUGAUGACCACCUGUGGCGAAGGCGGUCUACCAGAACACGUUCGACGGUGAGGGAUGAAAGCUGGGGGAGCAAACCGG